UGCGUAGGCGGUUGUUUAAGUCUGUCGUGAAAUCCCCGGGCUCAACCUGGGAAUGGCGAUGGAUACUGGGCAGCUAGAGUGUGUCAGAGGAUGGUGGAAUUCCCGGUGUAGCGGUGAAAUGCGUAGAGAUCGGGAGGAACAUCAGUGGCGAAGGCGGCCAUCUGGGACAACACUGACGCUGAAGCACGAAAGCGUGGGAGCAAACA
rnacentral:rRNA from 1 species